rnacentral:rRNA from 1 species
ACUCAAAUGAAUUGACGGGGACCCGCACAAGUGGUGGAGCAUGUGGUUUAAUUCGACGAUAAGCGAGGAACCUUACCAAGGUUUGACAUCUAGCGAAUCCUCUAGAAACAGAGGAGUGCCUUCGGGAGCGCUAAGACAGGUGAUGCAUGGUUGCCGUCAGCUCGUGCCGUGAGGUGUACCCUUAAGUGGGACAACGAGCGCAACCCCUAAGCUAUGUUAUAUUUCAUAGCCGACUGCCGAGGAUAACUCGGAGGAAGGUGGGGAUGACGUCAAAUCAGCAUGUCCCUUAUACCUUGGGCGACACACGUGCUACAAUGGGGCAUAACAAAGGGACGCCAAGCCGCAAGGCGGAGCAAAUCCCACCAAACUGCCCCCCAGUUCGGAUUGAGGGCUGAAACUCGCCCUCAUGAAGUUGGAAUCACUAGUAACCGUAUAUCAGCCAUGGUACGGUGAAUACGUUCUCGGGUCUUGUACACACCGCCCGU